UACGAAGGGGGCUAGCGUUGCUCGGAAUCACUGGGCGUAAAGCGCACGUAGGCGGGUUCUUAAGUCAGGGGUGAAAUCCUGGAGCUCAACUCCAGAACUGCCUUUGAUACUGGGAAUCUCGAGUCCGGGAGAGGUGAGUGGAACUGCGAGUGUAGAGGUGAAAUUCGUAGAUAUCGUCAAGAACACCUAUAGCGAAGGCAGCUUACUAGGCUGUAACUGACGCUGAGGCACGAAAGUGUGGGGAUCAAACAGG
rnacentral:rRNA from 1 species